GGCCGCGUCGUUCAACUGGUAGAGCGUACGGUCUAUAAGAACGUAGGCGGCGCCGAUGCGUGGGUUCGAAUCCCAUCGGGACUA
rnacentral:tRNA from 1 species